AUGCUCAGAAGCCUAUUUGAAGGAAAAUCUCUCAUUCCAGUUUGCCUUCACCUGAGAAGGAAACAGACCCACGUGCCUGGCCACGGGUGCCGCCAGAACACUGUGGUAACAAACAAGUUUAAAAGCAGUGGCUCCUGCAAGAAAGUUAUGUUUGUUGCUUCUUCUUCGGAUUGGCCUGGGUUUAACUCCUGCCACCUGAAGAUCACUGGAAGGAGCAGCCUCCCUCUGGAAGAGGGCCAAAGUUACAGGCCAAGCUUAACUCCAGAAGGGUCAGGAAAAUAG
rnacentral:lncRNA from 1 species